rnacentral:rRNA from 1 species
UACGUAGGGUGCAAGCGUUGUCCGGAAUUCUUGGGCGUAAAGAGCUUGUAGGCGGUUUGUCGCGUCUGCUGUGAAAUUUCGGGGCUCAACCCCGAACUUGCAGUGGGUACGGGCAGACUAGAGUGUGGUAGGGGAGACUGGAAUUCCUGGUGUAGCGGUGAAAUGCGCAGAUAUCAGGAGGAACACCGAUGGCGAAGGCAGGUCUCUGGGCCAUAACUGACGCUGAGAAGCGAAAGCAUGGGGAGCGAACAGG